rnacentral:rRNA from 1 species
GACGAACGCUGGCGGCGUGCUUAACACAUGCAAGUCGAACGGAGCGAAUGAAAGCUUGCUUUUAUGAGCUUAGUGGCAAACGGGUGAGUAACACGUAGACAACCUGCCGACAGGAUGGGGACAACAUUCCGAAAGGAAUGCUAAUACCGAAUGAAGCGGAGGAGAGGCAUCUCUCCUCCGUGAAAGAUGGCCUCUGAAUAUGCUAUCACCUGUCGAUGGGUCUGCGUCUGAUUAGCUAGUUGGUGAGGUAACGGCUCACCAAGGCGACGAUCAGUAGCCGGUCUGAGAGGAUGAACGGCCACAUUGGGACUGAGACACGGCCCAGACUCCUACGGGAGGCAGCAGUGGGGAAUCUUCCGCAAUGGGCGCAAGCCUGACGGAGCAACGCCGCGUGAGUGAAGAAGGUCUUCGGAUCGUAAAGCUCUGUUGAUGGGGACGAACGUGCGUGAUGCGAAUAGUGUCAUGCAAGACGGUA